rnacentral:rRNA from 1 species
UACGGAGGGGGCUAGCGUUGUUCGGAAUUACUGGGCGUAAAGCGCACGUAGGCGGCUUUGUAAGUUAGAGGUGAAAGCCCAGGGCUUAACCCUGGAAUUGCCUUUAAGACUGCAUCGCUAGAAUCGUGGAGAGGUGAGUGGAAUUCCGAGUGUAGAGGUGAAAUUCGUAGAUAUUCGGAAGAACACCAGUGGCGAAGGCGACUCACUGGACUGCAACUGACGCUGAGUCACGAAAGCGUGGGGAGCGAACAGG